rnacentral:rRNA from 1 species
CCUGGUGCUUCUAGCGAUAGGGAUACACCUGUUCCCAUCCCGAACACAGCAGUUAAGCCUAUCAGCGCUGAUGGUAGCCUUCGGGCAAGAGUAAGUCAGUGCCAGGA